AUGUCAUCAGACUGGAGCCAGAAUCCCAGUGAACUGAAUCAUGUUGGCAUUGACAAGCUCUGGGAUAACAUCAGAGCGGGAAUCCAGCAAGUGUAUUCCAGACAAAGUAUGGGGAAAUCCAGAUACAUAGAACUCUACACUCUUCUUUAUAACCACUGUUUACAUGUGUCCCCUCAAGAUCAGACUGAAUCAAAAAAGGAGCAGAAGCGGAGGGAAGAUGAGAAUGUUGGCUUAGAAUUAUACAAACGAAUUAAAGAAUUUUUGAAGAAUCACUUGACAAAUCUGCCUAAGGAUGGAGAAAAUUUAACGGAUAUAGGAAUACUGAAGUUCUAUACUCAACAAUGGGAAGAUUACCGGUUUUCGAGCAAAGUGCUGAAUGGGAUUUGUGCCCGCCUCAAUAAACAUUUACUUAAUAUGAAAAAUAAAGGACACAAAGUUUGUGAAAUAUAUUCUCUUGCAAUGGUGACUUGGAGAGAUUGUCUUUUCAGGCCAUUGAAUAAACAAGUAACAAAGGCUAUUUUAAAACUGAUUGAAAAGAAAAGAAAUGGUGAAUCCAUCAAUACAAGACUGAUAAGUGGGGCUAUACAGUCUUACAUGGAACUGGGGGUGAAUGAAGAUGAUCAGUUUGAGGAGGGCCCUAUGCUAACAGUGUACAAAGAAGCCUUUGAAUCUCAGUUUUUGGCUGAAACAGAGAGAUACUAUACCAGAAAGAGUACUGAAUUGUUGCAGCAGAACCCAGUUACCGAAUAUAUGAAAGAGGUAGAGGCUUUUCUGCUGGAGGAGCGGCGGAGGGCCCAGGCCUACCUUCACCAGAGCACCAAGGGCAAGCUAGUCAGGAAAUGCAGGCAGGUGCUUGUGGAGAAACACUUAGAGAUUUUCCUCACAGAAUUUCAGAAUUUACUGAACGCCAACAAGUGUGAAGAUUUGGGUCGCAUGUAUAAGCUCAUAUAUAGAAUCAAGAAUGGCCUGGGAGAAUUUAAAAAACUCCUGGAGACACACAUUCAUAAUCAGGGUCUUUUAGCAAUUGAGAAGUGUGGAGAAGCUGCUUUAAAUGACCCCAGAAUGUAUGUAGAGAUAGUGUUGAAUAUCCAUAAAAAAUACAAUACCCUGGUGAUAUCAGCAUUCAGGAACCAUGCUGACUUCAUAGCUGCACUGGACAAGGCUUGCAGUGGCUUCAUAAACAACAAUGCAGUUACCAAAAUGGCUCAGACAUCCAGCAAAUCCCCCGAGUUGCUGGCUCAAUACUGUGACUCCUUGUUGAAGAAGAGUUCCAAGAACCCAGAAGAAGCAGAACUAGAAGACACACUUAACCACGUGAUGACAGUCUUCAAGUAUAUGGACGACAAAGAUGUGGUUCAGAAGUUCUACACGAAAAUGCUGGCCAAAAGGCUUGUCUGUCAGAACAGUGCAAGUGACGACGCUGAAGCAAGCAUGAUCUCAAAGUUAAAGCAAGCUUGUGGUUUUGAGUAUACCUCCAAACUUCAGCGGAUGUUUCAAGACAUUGGUGUAAGCAAAGCUUUGAAUGCGCAGUUCAAAAAGCACCUGAUGGAUUCAGAGCCUUUGGACUUAGAUUUCAGUAUUCACGUUCUGAGUUAUGGAUGGUGGCCCUUUGAGGAAUCUUGUACAAUCCUUUUGCCAUCAGAGCUGGAACCAUGUUAUCAGCGCUUCACAGCAUUUUAUGCCAGCUAUUACAGUGACAGAAAGUUGUCAUGGGCAUAUCAACUGUCUGAAGGAGAAUUAGUAACAAACUACUUCAAAAACAGCUACACUUUGCAUGCAUCUACAUUCCAGAUGGCUGUCCUGCUCCAGUACAACAUGGAAGAUGCUUACACCGUUCAACAGUUGACAGACAGCACUCAGAUCAAAAUGGACAUUUUGGUACAAGUCUUACAGAUUUUAUUGAAGUUUAAGUUACUGGUUUUGGAAGACAAAAGUGCAAAUGUUGAUGAGGUGGAAUUGAAGCCAGAUACCUUAAUAAAAUUACAUUUUGGUUAUAAAAGUAAGAAAUUAAGGGUUAAUAUCAGCUUGCCAAUGAAAAUUGAACAGAAGCGGGAACAAGAAACCAUUUACAAAAACAUUGAGGAAGAUCGCAAACUGCUGAUCCAGGCGGCUAUUGUGAGAAUAAUGAAAAUGAGGAAGGUUGUGAAACACCAGCAGUUACUUGGAGAAGUAGUGACUCAGUUGUCCUCAAUAUUCAAGCCUCAGAUCUCAGUGAUUAAGAAAUGCAUUGACAUUCUGAUCGAGAAAGAAUAUUUGGAGCGAGUGGGUGAUGAAAAGGACACAUACAGUUACUUGGCUUAA
rnacentral:lncRNA from 1 species